CCUACGGGAGGCAGCAGUGAGGAAUAUUGGUCAAUGGACGCAAGUCUGAAGCAGCCAUGCCGCGUGCAGGAAGACGGCUCUAUGAGUUGUAAACUGCUUUUGUACGAGGGUAAAUCCCGAUACGUGUAUCUGGUUGAAAGUAUCGUACGAAUAAGGAUCGGCCAACUCCGUGCCAGCAGCCGCGGUAAUACGGAGGAUUCAAGCGUUAUCCGGAUUUAUUGGGUGUAAAGGGUGCGUAGUCGGUUCGAUAAGUUAGAGGUGAAAUCCCGGGGCUCAACUCCGGCACUGCCUCUGAUACUGUCGGGCUAGAGUUUAGUUGCGGUAGGCGGAAUGUAUGGUGUAGCGGUGAAAUGCAUAGAGAUCAUACAGAACACCGAUUGCGAAGGCAGCUUACCAAACUACGACUGACGUUGAGGCACGAAAGCGUGGGGAGCAAACAGGAUUAGAUACCCGAGUAGUC
rnacentral:rRNA from 1 species